rnacentral:rRNA from 1 species
GGUGAUGCAGAGCUUGCUCUGCUGAUCAGUGGCGAACGGGUGAGUAACACGUGAGUAACCUGCCCUUGACUCUGGGAUAAGCGCUGGAAACGGCGUCUAAUACCGGAUACGACCUUCCCCGGCAUCGGGUGGGGGUGGAAAGAUUUUUUGGUCAAGGAUGGACUCGCGGCCUAUCAGCUUGUUGGUGAGGUAAUGGCUCACCAAGGCGACGACGGGUAGCCGGCCUGAGAGGGUGACCGGCCACACUGGGACUGAGACACGGCCCAGACUCCUACGGGAGGCAGCAGUGGGGAAUAUUGCACAAUGGGCGAAAGCCUGAUGCAGCAACGCCGCGUGAGGGAUGACGGCCUUCGGGUUGUAAACCUCUUUUGGCAGGGAAGAAGCGAAAGUGACGGUACCUGCAGAAAAAGCACCGGCUAACUACGUGCCAGCAGCCGCGGUAAUACGUAGGGUGCGAGCGUUGUCCGGAAUUAUUGGGCGUAAAGAGCUCGUAGGCGGUUUGUCGCGUCUGCUGUGAAAUCCCGAGGCUCAACCUCGGGCCUGCAGUGGGUACGGGCAAACUAGAGUGCAGUAGGGGAGACUGGAAUUCCUGGUGUAGCGGUGGAAUGCGCAGAUAUCAGGAGGAACACCGAUGGCGAAGGCAGGUCUCUGGGCUGUAACUGACGCUGAGGAGCGAAAGCGUGGGGAGCGAACAGGAUUAGAUACCCUGGUAGUCCACGCCGUAAACGUUGGGCGCUAGAUGUGGGGACCAUUCCACGGUUUCCGUGUCGCAGCU